GCGCACGGGUGAGUAACACGUAUCCAACCUGCCGUCUACUCUUGGACAGCCUUCUGAAAGGAAGAUUAAUACAAGAUGGCAUCAUGAGUUCACAUGUUCACAUGAUUAAAGGUAUUCCGGUAGACGAUGGGGAUGCGUUCCAUUAGAUAGUAGGCGGGGUAACGGCCCACCUAGUCUUCGAUGGAUAGGGGUUCUGAGAGGAAGGUCCCCCACAUUGGAACUGAGACACGGUCCAAACUCCUACGGGAGGCAGCAGUGAGGAAUAUUGGUCAAUGGGCGCAGGCCUGAACCAGCCAAGUAGCGUGAAGGAUGACUGCCCUAUGGGUUGUAAACUUCUUUUAUAAAGGAAUAAAGUCGGGUAUGUAUACCCGUUUGCAUGUACUUUAUGAAUAAGGAUCGGCUAACUCCGUGCCAGCAGCCGCGGUAAUACGGAGGAUCCGAGCGUUAUCCGGAUUUAUUGGGUUUAAAGGGAGCGUAGAUGGAUGUUUAAGUCAGUUGUGAAAGUUUGCGGCUCAACCGUAAAAUUGCAGUUGAUACUGGAUAUCUUGAGUGCAGUUGAGGCAGGCGGAAUUCGUGGUGUAGCGGUGAAAUGCUUAGAUAUCACGAAGAACUCCGAUUGCGAAGGCAGCCUGCUAAGCUGCAACUGACAUUGAGGCUCGAAAGUGUGGGUAUCAAACAGGAUUAGAUACCCUGGUAGUCCACACGGUAAACGAUGAAUACUCGCUGUUUGCGAUAUACGGCAAGCGGCCAAGCGAAAGCGUUAAGUAUUCCACCUGGGGAGUAC
rnacentral:rRNA from 1 species